UACGUAGGUGACAAGCGUUGUCCGGAUUUACUGGGCGUAAAGAGCGCGCAGGCGGUCGAUCAAGUCGAGUGUGAAAGCCCCCGGCUCAACUGGGGAGGGUCAUUCGAUACUGAUCGACUCGAAGGCAGGAGAGGGUAGUGGAAUUCCCGGUGUAGUGGUGAAAUGCGUAGAUAUCGGGAGGAACACCAGUGGCGAAGGCGACUACCUGGUCUGCUCUUGACGCUGAGGCGCGAAAGCUAGGGGAGCAAACGGG
rnacentral:rRNA from 1 species